rnacentral:lncRNA from 1 species
CUUCAUCACAGGGAUACCUUCCUAAUAUUCUCUCCUACCAUGAAGCACCACUGUGUCCAGAAGUUUCAGCAGCAGAGACUAAGCUAAGAAUAAAGGAAAUCAUGGAGAAACUAGACCAGCUGAUCCCACCCAGACCUUUCACCCACAUGAACACAACCACCAGUGCUGCACACAGCACAGCCACCAUCCUCAACCCUCGAGACACGCACUACAGGAGGCACCAGCUGGACAUCCUGCUGGAGGUGAGAGACCACUUGGGACAUAGGAAGCAAUAUGGCAGGGAUUUCCUGAGGGCCAGGAUGUCCUCUCCAGCCCUGAUGGCAGGUGCUUCAGGAAAGGUGAUCAACUUCAACAAUGGCACCUAACUGGUCAGAUUCACUUUGUUCUGGGGGGGGUCAGAUACCCCUGUCUCUGCUGCUCACCCACCCCAGUGAAGGAGCAUUGACUCUCUGGAGGGCGAGACACCAACACUGUGACAGGAUCAUCUUCAAGGGCCAGUUUUCCAGCGGCACCUCUCAGGUCAAUACUGAUUGCGCUCUGGUUUCAAACUCAAGUGCUGAAUUGUGCCAGUACCUGCAUACCCAAGAAGCCUUCUACUGCUUGAGGCCUCAACGUGUUCCCUGAGAGGCCCUGGCCCAUGUGACUACCAGAGACACAGCACAGAAGGGCAGAGCCUUUCACACAAGAUUAAACAAUCCUUCCAACACAACGUUCAAGUAAACAGGA